GAGGAGCAUUAUCCAAGCCUAAUGAAAUAUAAAUAGAGCAUAAAUGAUACACCUGAGCGCGAGGCAUGUUGCAUAACAUCAGGAAAUGCUUUUAUGCUUUUUAAAUGAGUAAAAUCUAAGGGUUUGACUAAUUCUUAACAAUUGUACGCAUGUUAAAACCAUACAAUUAUGCACUUUAUUAUUGAGCCAGUGAGAAACGCAAAAUAUUCUCCAGUCUUUUGCUUCAGAUAGGGACACCGCUGACGUACGGCAGCCCGAAGAAACGUACGCGCGCUUCAGGAUGGGUCCGAGGAAUCGCUCGAGCCACUCGUUUGGGUUUUGAUGCUUUCCUGCACGCAAAUGACACCGAAAUCAUGACUCAGCGUCACGUGUGCAGAGAAGGCGAACGAACGCAUGUCGCCGCGUUCCCUCGGCUAGCGAGAAGGUAGAGUAAUAACGACUCAGACUCUGUACUGUUCUGGUCAUCCACUGGGAAACGGGCAGCAUUUCCUGUUUGCUUCGGCGAGAUCAUUUCCUCCUCUUUGGAUUUCGGUUCCGAGUCACUUAAAGGUCCGUUUUGUUUUUGCCGCGCCGUCAAGCGGCCCAUGAAACACCACAAAAUGGUUCUUGAAUCCUUUUAUUUAGGAGCGCAUGUGCGACCCAAACACAACAAACAAAACAGGUAUAAAAACACAAUAAACGAAGGAAAAAUGUUUGACUUGACACAAAGUGCUUCCAGUGACCGUGAACAAACACAAAACGGAGUGGGUUCGGUUUUAGAAAAGCGACACUACGUUAAGAAAUACACACACAAUAACAUGAAUAAUGCGAGAAGGAAACAUUUUAAAGAUACCCAUCUGAUGCCCCUCCAAAUUCUCACUUACCAUCCGAUCCCCGUGAGAGACCUGUACUACCCCCUUUUACGACCCCACUGAUACCGAUCACCUCGUUACAUCCGUCUGAUACCCUUGUGAUGCAUGUUCUACCUCCUUAAAGUUUACCCCCUCCAUCGUAAAUACCCCAUUACCCCUACAUACCCCUUCUGGUCACCCUGACUCUUCGUUUCUCCUUUCUGACACCGCUCUAAUGGCUCAAUUAUCCUUCCAAUGCCCCGUUUGCCUCAUACACCCCUCUAAUACGCCUUCCGUUUCUUCUCUGAUCCCCAUGUUACCCCGUACCUCUAUAAUCAAAUCAUAAUUUUACCCUUCGCUCCUCUGACACCCCUGUAACCCCGUCUAUAACCCUUCUCACAGCCGUUACUCCUCUCGAACCUUUCAUCAAUACGUACAUUUUUCCAGUGAGACUCUUCUCAUACCCCUGUUACCCACUUUCACCCCCUCGUGCCAUUCCAAUGCCCAAAACACCCCAAUGCUAAGCCUAAAAUAGCCACCAUAUCCUCAUUUUUACCCCCAUAUUCUUAGUGAUCUCCCCUUUAAAGCCCCUGAGCAGUUGUGAUUUCGAAAAGAAAGGUCACGGGGUCACGGCGUUCAUCACCAUCCAAAGAACGAUAACAGAAGCUGGAGGCUUUUCAAUAACACUGCCACUGCCGAGAGCGUAACACACUCCGGCCGACGUUGAAUAAUGAAUUAAUAACAGGCGUAAUAAAAGAUUUAUAAGCAGUAAAAAUACAAAAAAAAUUAAAAAAACAACAACAACAACAACAACAACAGUGCCCCAGCUGUUUAUAACCCAGAGUUCUUAAACCUGCGAGAGAAUUCAGACUACAAUUUUAACCACAAAUAAACACAGAGUUUGUCGUUAACGCUUUAAUAAAGAGCUGAAGACGUUCAGGGCAAAACUUCAUUCUGAAGAUCAGAGGAUCCAAGAGCUGAAGAGAAUAUGCAGUAAGAUCAAAGCCCAUCGCUGGCUCGACAAGGGCGGAGCUUACGUUACAGUCCUUCAGCCGUGAAAUUCACAUCUUCACGACGACGUCCCGCUGAGCUACACA
ensembl:lncRNA